rnacentral:rRNA from 1 species
GAUGAACGCUGGCGGCGUGCCUAAUACAUGCAAGUCGAACGCAUAGCGAAAGGUGCUUGCACCUUUCAAGUGAGUGGCGAACGGGUGAGUAACACGUGGACAACCUGCCUCAAGGCUGGGGAUAACAUUUGGAAACAGAUGCUAAUACCGAAUAAAACUUAGUGUCGCAUGACACAAAGUUAAAAGGCGCUUCGGCGUCACCUAGAGAUGGAUCCGCGGUGCAUUAGUUAGUUGGUGGGGUAAAGGCCUACCAAGACAAUGAUGCAUAGCCGAGUUGAGAGACUGAUCGGCCACAUUGGGACUGAGACACGGCCCAAACUCCUACGGGAGGCUGCAGUAGGGAAUCUUCCACAAUGGGCGAAAGCCUGAUGGAGCAACGCCGCGUGUGUGAUGAAGGCUUUCGGGUCGUAAAGCACUGUUGUAUGGGAAGAACAGCUAGAACAGGAAAUGAUUUUAGUUUGACGGUACCAUACCAGAAAGGGACGGCUAAAUACGUG